AACAUUUCUAUUGAUUAUAUGUCAGUUUAACAUACAAAAAUUAAUGCCAGAAUCCAUGUUUUUGCUGAUAUUUCGCACUUAUAUACUGAAAAUAGCUAGAAACCAUUUACUCGAUAGUGGGUUCUUACUUCCAACUGGUAAAUUCAAUGGCAAAAAUAUACUCCACGAACUUCUGAAUAUAUUAACUAUGGUAAAGAUUAUAAAUUUGCUCAUAAAUUAUCUAAGCGACAUCUUUUUGCAGAGGAUUACAUCGCACGAACGUCAGAUUAGCAGCUAAUGUAUUUUCUAACUUAGAUUCAAAAGCCAUUGUGUACUGCGACAAAAAAAAUUAUCUUAAUAAAUAAAACCGGAAAGAGAGAAGCUGCAAGUUAUGGACGAAUCAUAGAAGAUCAAAACAUUUUAAUAGAUAAAAUGAGUAAAGUUAUUAAGGACAUGAGCAUACAAGGAAAAAAAUUAUCACAUCCUUUCCAAAAAGGCUAGUACCAAUUGAAUAGUUUUAUAAUAUA